GUUAUCACUACGAGAAUUAUUUAGUAAUAAUUGUGUUUGAUGAUUGAAUUUGGCAUAUUAAUGAAUGUUGUUGUAAAUGAUUGUGAAUUGAUACUUGUUUGAACCUUAAAUGUUGUUGUUUUGGAGUUAUAUGAGAUACAAAUAUGUUUUAAAAUUGAAAGUAGUGAAAAUGGUGUAUUGUUGGGUUGGUUUCCGGUCUGAAUUGGUGGUAUGGAUGAUGAAUGUUAGUGGUGAGCGUCUGCUAAUAAGCGUAUGGUGGUGAGCGUUGUUAACUCAUUGGCAAGUGUACCAAAUCGUUCAAGUAAUAAAACUGGUAAGACCAGGUAUCGUUUUCCCAAGAGACUUGUGCAACACAUGACAAUUAUUCCUUUUAUAACUCAAUUAGAUAUCAAAGUGCACAAAAAACAACACAAGAAACUCUUUUUGGUAUUUUAUCAAACAGUUGGUGUGCAAGGAAUUUAACAUAGUGUAUUUACAAUUUGUCAAGACUAGAGUUCAUCCACUUCAUUCUCAUGCAUUUACAAACAACUCAAUUCCAUCAAUUUAGUGUUCAAUUUCAAUUCUAAGUUCAAGUCAUAUUUUCCAAUACAUCAAGAACCACAUUUCAAGCCAUGGGUGAUCAAACCACAACAAGCAUUAAGCAUAGAAAUCAAAUACUAACAUUGGAAUGGAAAAGCAUAUGUAUUAACAUCACAAAAUACACAAGAUUCAGUUUAUUACAUCUAAUCUCAACAAAUAGGAAAAGCCCUCCAUGGAGGAGAACUUAGGGUUCUACAAAUUGAAGAGAUAGGGAAGAAAUUGGAACCAAAGAGAAGAUGCAAAGCCUUUCCCAAGGUUCUUGGCAGCUGCUCCAUGCUCCGUUUGUGCUUCCCCUUCACAUCUCCAUCUCCAAUUUGUGACCCAUCUUCUUCCUCAACCCAAAAGGGGCAAAAUCACCAUUGAUGAAGCUUGAAGACCCAAGGAGGAGUGGGAGAGUUUCCCAACACCCCAAACAGCCUC
rnacentral:lncRNA from 1 species